UACAAAGGGGGCUAGCGUUGCUCGGAAUCACUGGGCGUAAAGCGCACGUAGGCGGCUUUCUAAGUCAGGGGUGAAAUCCUGGAGCUCAACUCCAGAACUGCCUUUGAUACUGGGAAGCUUGAGUCCGGAAGAGGUGAGUGGAACUGCGAGUGUAGAGGUGAAAUUCGUAGAUAUUCGCAAGAACACCAGUGGCGAAGGCGGCUCACUGGUCCGGUACUGACGCUGAGGUGCGAAAGCGUGGGGAGCAAACAGG
rnacentral:rRNA from 1 species